GAGAGGUUAGAGAGGAGGAUUGGAGAAAAAGAAAGAGAAAGAGAGCAUAAAAGAUCAAAUGAUGAGGAGCCAUGGUCGCACGCCUCACGGCGGGGUCAUGGAAGGGAUGAGAGGAGAAGUGAUGCGGAAAGCCUACGGGCUAACCGAAUGGAGGAGCUAGAUCACCGGAGGCCUCGGAGGAGAGGAGGAAGAAUUGAAGCCCGGGGGAUAGAGAUUGAAAGGUGGAUAGAAGAAGAGGGACCUAGCCAUAGUGAAGAGGGGAGUGAACCCGAGGGAGAUCCAUUCCAUGACCAAAGGCCUAUAGGCCGGAGGAACUUCAUGGAAGGAAGAAGGAGGAAUGAAGACUAUGAUGAAGAUUAUGCUAGGGGCCCAAGACACCAAGAUAGAGGGCUAAGAAAACCGAAGAUUGACUUUCCCAAGUUCNN
rnacentral:lncRNA from 1 species